CGGUACUAUAGUCUCGUUUUGGAUCUUAGGGUGUUCAAAUCAACGAUCCACACUGUUAAAACUGAUCUAGGGUAUUUAAAGAUUUUAGAAAUAAUAUUUUAUAUUUUUUCGACAUAGUUUAUUUUAUGAUCAAACCAUUUCAAAAUUGUCAAUUUUCAAUGGCUACUAUAGCGAGUUUGGAGUUUAACGGUGUAGAAGAAUCUAAAUUUCUUCAAAUUUUGAUAGAAAAUACUUUAAACUAUCUAGAUUAAGAUUAACAUUCUUGAUUUUGAAUUUAAAAGCCCUAUGCUCAAAUUUUAAAGAUUAUUUACUUUCCA
rnacentral:lncRNA from 1 species